rnacentral:rRNA from 1 species
UACGUAGGGUGCGAGCGUUGUCCGGAAUUAUUGGGCGUAAAGAGCUCGUAGGCGGUUUGUCGCGUCGGCCGUGAAAACUUGGGGCUUAACUCCAAGCUUGCGGUCGAUACGGGCAGACUUGAGUUCGGCAGGGGAGACUGGAAUUCCUGGUGUAGCGGUGAAAUGCGUAGAUAUCUGGAGGAACACCGGUGGCGAAGGCGGCAUCCUGGACCGACACUGACGCUGAGGAGCGAAAGCCAGGGGAGCAAACGGG